rnacentral:ncRNA from 2 species
AGAAUAACGGGUUAUGAAGGUGUCAUGUCGCACUCUAAAACAUGCGGCAGAGUAAACGGGAAACAGGUACGUGAAUACUAAGCCUGUGCUGCCCCCGCAACGGUAUGUUUAAGCUUUGGUUGACAGAUUCAAUUGCACUGCGAAGGUGGGAAGGAGUUGAGUCGUGAAUGUUGAUCGAUCAAUAGGCUGACAAGUCCGGAGACCGGCCUUCGUAGAUUGAGUCUA